GCUGGUUCCUUUAUGUCAACUGAGGGAUGUGAGGGAUGCCUUUAGUGAGGGUACGACAACAUGGUUGGUCAGCUCGUGAUUGGUCAUCACGGGAUCAUAUCCACGCAGGCGGUUUCCUGUGUGAUCAGGAAGUACAAGGCCAUCGGCGGUAUCAUCCUCACUGCCAGUCACAACCCCUGAGGGAUCCAAUGGAGACUUUGGCAUCAAGUUCAACACUGCUAAUGGAGAUACUGUAACUAGAGAACAGGGACCAGUAGGAAAGGCCCAGGAGGCAGUCGCUAACAAAAUAUCCCUGAUCAGUAGAUCCAUAAAGGAGUACGCCAUGUGCCCAGAACUCCG
ensembl:lncRNA